AGCUACGUUUAAAAAUACUUCUUUAAAAUACAGUGAAAACUACUACAAGUGUACAUCUUCAAUAGCCUAGACAGCUACUUACAUAUUUGAUAAAUUUAUAGAACGAAAUGACGAAUAUGCAUAAAGACGUUCACAUAUAAGAAGUCUUCCACAGAUGCACAGAGCGCUUGUAGAGUAGUUGUCAGCGCAGAAAUAUACUAAUAUAUGUGCCUUAGCUUCAGUUUUCAGUUUGGGUCUCAGCAGCUUGCAGCUUAGUGGCUGUGAUUGCAGGCAGGCAGCAGCAGCAGGCAGGCAGACAGCAACUGUUGCUGCCGUCGUUGACACGCCUGCAAUUGCACUGAUAUGAAUCACGGGACCCGGCAAGAGCUGAGUGAACGAGAACUGAACUUAAAUAUGAUUUUUAGGAAAACUAAUUUCAAGUGAAUGUUAAGCAGCUUUGCCUGGCCACGAAAUGCAAUUAAGAAACUGUCUCAGCCUUUGACAUAACUCAGAGGCCGAUUACCUUUCGGACUGCCACAAAUCAACGCAACUGCCGCCUACGAGCGCGUUAUCGAGCCUCGUUUACUGCGGCUUUUGUCUCGGUCUGGACCACAGCAGGGUGUGGCGCCAGGGACAGUGCAGGACAUGGCCAAUGGCCAAUGGCCAUUGCCAAGUGGAAGCGCAUGCGCAGCGGGUUUUAUGCAUUUUAAUGCCUGGUCCUCGAUCUGAAGCUGGACCCAGUUGGAGCCUGUCGAUCGUUGUUUAUGUUGGUGUUAUUUUCAUUGCAAACAAAUGAUGAGGAACACGCAAACGCACUCAAAGCCCAACCAUAUCGUCGCUGCAGACACACUGAAACAGAAAUUGAAAUCAAAAUAACUUGGACGAAGGUAGAGCGAGUCUUGGGAGACAGCAGCGGCAACGACAUACAUUAACUUGCCAGCUAAAAUUUAGUAAAACUUAUGCUUGAUUUUUAAGUGGAAAAAGAAAUGUAUUUUACGAGCCCAAAUUGAAGAAACGCGAGUCCUGAGCACAUUCAGAGAUGUGCUUAUGUGCACAAGAGAAACAACCGUUACAUAAACCAUUAAGAAUGUGAUUUAA